GUACUUCUGAAGAGUCCCAAACUAGGACGAAACAGCUAUCCAGUAC
rnacentral:hammerhead_ribozyme from 1 species